AGACCUUUUUCGACCUUUUGACUAAGAUCAGUGUAGUAUUUGUUCUUAUCAGUUAAUAUUUGAGUAUGUGGAUUUGAUGUCCAAAUGAUAUUGAUUUUUUUUUGGAGAGGAUCCACAUAUGUAGCCUACAUGGGUCUUCAUGAUCGCUCUAGCAUUCCACUAUUGCGGGCCGAUGCGUCCAACCAAA